GAUGAAGAACGUAGCGAAAUGCGAUAAGUAAUGUGAAUUGCAGAAUUCAGUGAAUCAUCGAAUCUUUGAACGCACCUUGCGCUCUUUGGUAUUCCGAAGAGCAUGCCUGUUUGAGUGUCAUGAACACCUCAACUCUCAUGGUUCUGCCAUGAUGAGCUUGGACUUUGGAGGUCUUGCUGGCCCCUGUGGUCAGCUCCUCUCAAAUGGAUCAGCUUGCCAGUGUUUGGUGGCAUCACAGGUGUGAUAACUAUCUACGCUUGUGGUUUUCCACCAGGUAACCUUCAGUGAUGGAGGUUCGCUGGAGCUCAUAAACGUCUCUCCUCAGCGAGGACAGCUUCUUGAACGUUUGAUCUCAAAUCAGGUAGGGCUACCCGCUGAACUUAAGCAUAUCAAUAAGCGGAGGA
rnacentral:misc_RNA from 1 species